ACCAUUGUGUACUUGUCAAACACUACAGGGCAGCACAGAAGACGAGACGAGGAGCAGACGAGAGGCAUUAGAGCGCAAAGUAACCAAGUCAAUUGAAAGGGGGAGGAUUUAGGGAUGGUCUUUCUACUCAGGAAAUUUCUUUCUUUUUUUCUUUUGUUUUCUCUUCGAAAACAGGAAAGAAAUAAAGAAAGAGAAAAUAGAUUUAUACUUAAAAGUGGAGGUAGUGACUACGACUUGUUUGCUUGGGCAUUGGUCAACAGAAGGUGCAUAGAUGGAACAUCACUUAGAGGCUAAGUCCUUAAUGACACCAAGCACAAGUUACCUUGCAGAUUCAUAGUUGCAUGGUUCUCUUGAUUUUAUUUAAAAAACUCAACAUCUUCAACCAGCAAUACCUUCAACACUUUUUCACCUGACAUAAGGUCUGGAAACUCCAAAGAUCCAUGUCUCCAAUGAGAGCUGAUAUCGUACAUGACAAGCAGGUUGUGUGUUUUGGGUGAUAUGUGAAGGCUAGGCAGAUACCUUGGGGAUAUGAAGAUUUUGGUAGCACAGUAAAUUCCUACAGAAGAGUAGAGACCAAAUUAUCCUUUCUCGAGGAAUCCAUCAAUCUUACAUUCCAAAUUUUUCUUGUUGCUUAAAGCCAAAACCAAUUUAAGCUAUUGUUUACAUAAAGAUAGUUGUUUACAUCAAUUUAAAGAAGUAAACAUUACAUUUCCACCUUCUGAGACAUAUUUCCAGUGUUUUAUAGUUCUGAUGCUUCUGUAAGAAAAAACUUGAUUCUCUGCUAAUAU